UUCGCAGUGACCAACGUCUACGCGCCGUGCACUCCGGAACGGCGCCCUGAGUUCUUGGCGGAAAUUCGCGCCAUCGCUGAAACAUGUGCUGUCCCGUGGAUCCUGGUAGGCGACUUCAACCUCGCCCGAUGCCCCGAUGAAAAGAACAACCAAAACUUUGAUGCCGCCGCUGCUGCGGAGUUCAACCUGGCCGUCAACGACUUGUCGCUCCAGGACCUUCCCCUCGUCGACCGUCGCUUCACCUGGUCCAAU
rnacentral:rRNA from 1 species